CCUACGGGAGGCAGCAGUGGGGAAUUUUGCGCAAUGGGGGAAACCCUGACGCAGCGACGCCGCGUGAAGGAUGAAGGUCUUCGGAUUGUAAACUUCUUUUGUCGGGGAAGAUAAUGACGGUACCCGAUGAAUAAGCCACGGCUAACUCUGUGCCAGCAGCCGCGGUAAU
rnacentral:rRNA from 1 species